rnacentral:piRNA from 1 species
UGUGAGGGAUCAGUGUUUAGAACAGUGC